GAUGAACGCUGGCGGCGUGCCUAAUACAUGCAAGUCGAGCGAACGGACGAGAAGCUUGCUUCUCUGAUGUUAGCGGCGGAAGGGUGAGUAACACGUGGAUAACCUACCUAUAAGACUGGGAUAACUUCGGGAAACCGGAGCUAAUACCGGAUAAUAUUUUGAACCGCAUGAUUCAAAAGUGAAAGACGGUCUUGCUGUCACUUAUAGAUGGAUCCGCGCUGCAUUAGCUAGUUGGUAAGGUAACGGCUUACCAAGGCAACGAUGCAUAGCCGACCUGAGAGGGUGAUCGGCGACACUGGAACUGAGACACGGUCCAGACUCCUACGGGAGGCAGCAGUAGGGAAUCUUCCGCGAUGGGCGAAAGCCUGACGGAGCAACGCCGCGUGAGUGAUGAAGGUCUUCGGAUCGUAAAACUCUGUUAUUAGGGAAGAACAUAUGUGUAAGUAACUGUGCACAUCGUGACGGUACCUAAUCAGAAAGCCACGGCUAACUACGUG
rnacentral:rRNA from 1 species